rnacentral:lncRNA from 1 species
CGUACAUCAUAUGGGUUUUAAUAUUCAGCUCUUUUUAAAGCAAAACCAAACUUAAGCUCAGACCAAGGCUUCUUUGGAUAUGCGGUCAACCCAUUAUGGAAGUUGGGCUUUUGCCGAGGCCAUGUGAAGCCAAGACAAUGGGCCAUGUGGACCGCCUGUUCUUGCAACUUGCUUGGCCUAAAUAACUUAUGAAGAGAAAUUAUUUAUGCACCACCCACG